UUCGGUGAACGGUGAAGGUCAAUUCCGUUCUCUGCAGGGGCCCAGACUGAAAAUCAGAAGGAAGAAGAGGCCCAGCUCCAUGCCUGUCCUCGAAUGUCUUGCUGUCUGCCUAAGGCUCUUCUAAAUGACGCGGAAUAUGAAUUCAAGAAAACAGAAAGCUGCCAUCCUCCAUGGUCAGAUCUCUCUGAAAGAUGGACAAUUUCUUGAUCAUCACAAGUGAUGAGCAGGCCCCCAAGAGACAGAGCGCCAAGUGCAAAAGCAACAAGAGUGUAGAUGAGAGAUUUCUCCCCACUGAACUGUCUACCCCAGGAGGCAGCCAGUGCAACCUUCAGACCCAGGAGGUGAGAAAAAAUCAUUUU
rnacentral:lncRNA from 1 species